rnacentral:tRNA from 1 species
GCGGCUGUAGCUCAGUGGAUAGAGCGCUUCCCUCCGGAGGAAGAGGCCAAGGGUUCGAGUCCCUUCAGCCGUGCCA